rnacentral:rRNA from 1 species
GAUGAACGCUGGCGGCGUGCCUAAUACAUGCAAGUCGAACGCGCAGCGAAAGGUGCUUGCACCUUUCAAGCGAGUGGCGAACGGGUGAGUAACACGUGGAUAACCUGCCUCAAGGCUGGGGAUAACAUUUGGAAACAGAUGCUAAUACCGAAUAAAACUUAGUAUCGCAUGAUACAAAGUUAAAAGGCGCUACGGCGUCACCUAGAGAUGGAUCCGCGGUGCAUUAGUUAGUUGGUGGGGUAAAGGCUUACCAAGACGAUGAUGCAUAGCCGAGUUGAGGGACUGAUCGGCCACAUGGGGACUGAGACACGGCCCAAACUCCUACGGGAGGCUGCAGUAGGGAAUCUUCCACAAUGGGCGAAAGCCUGAUGGAGCAACGCCGCGUGUGUGAUGAAGGCUUUCGGGUCGUAAAGCACUGUUGUAUGGGAAGAAAUGCUAAAAUAGGGAAUGAUUUUAGUUUGACGGUACCAUACCAGAAAGGGACGGCUAAAUACGUGCCAGCCGCCGCCGUAA